rnacentral:rRNA from 1 species
GCUCAGGAUGAACGCUAGCUACAGGCUUAACACAUGCAAGUCGAGGGGCAGCAUGAACUUAGCUUGCUAAGUUUGAUGGCGACCGGCGCACGGGUGAGUAACGCGUAUCCAACCUUCCGUUUACUCGGGGAUAGCCUUUCGAAAGAAAGAUUAAUAUCCGAUAGUAUGGUAAGAUUGCAUGGUAAUACCAUUAAAGAUUUAUCGGUAAACGAUGGGGAUGCGUUCCAUUAGGUAGUAGGCGGGGUAACGGCCCACCUAGCCGACGAUGGAUAGGGGUUCUGAGAGGAAGGUCCCCCACAUUGGAACUGAGACACGGUCCAAACUCCUACGGGAGGCAGCAGUGAGGAAUAUUGGUCAAUGGGCGAGAGCCUGAACCA